CCGAGUUGUCUAAUAGGUGAAUUACUCAUAAAGUGCUGGUUUGGUAUUUAUCUUUCCAAGUCUCUACAUGAGCAAAAGACGAGAAGAAUCAGAUUCCCACAAGAGGAAACGUGACAGAUGUGUAACCAGCUAAAUGCUGACCAAUCACAUUUGAAGAGGAGAAGGGCAAGUCGUGGCCAAAAUAGGCUGUCAUUGGAGCUGCACGAGAUCGGUCAAAUGAAGUCUGGCUGUCUUAGUUAACUGCAAUGUCAACUGCUGUGAUAAAGCCACCAGAGAAUUUGGUUGGCUUAACACAAUCACAGUCUAUUUAUUUUAAAUUACUAGUCCAUUGCAGGUGUUCCUGCUUGAGCAGACUUCUUCCAAGUGGUGAGUGAGAGAUCCAGGUUCCUUGCCAAAUUGGUGUUCUGCCAUCGUCAACACCUGUUUCCCAAGGUGUCCUUGUUUUCGUUGGUUGGUUUUUGGCUGUCGAUGUUUUUGUUGCCUUUGUUUCAAUUCCAUACAGCUGAAAGGGAAAAAAAGCACAUGCCCGCUUCCCCACGGGAGGUUUCCACGGUGCACACCCUUCCACUCACAUUCCUUUGGCCAGAGCUGAACCACGUUGACACAUCGAACUGUAAGACCAGCUGGAAGGUAGUCAAGCUGAGAAGAGGGAGAAAUUGGUUUGGUAUCACUUAUCAGUCUCUCUCUACUGAUAAAACCAUCUGUUGAUGCUUGUGUUAAGCAAUGAGAAUACACAUCCAUUGCUGCCAGGACUGCAAAUUGGUACAAUCACUUUGGGAAUUCACUUAGCACCAUCUUGUAAAGCGGAACAUGACCCUCCAAUUCCCCUUGCUGGUGUAAACUCUAGAGAAACUCUUGCAUAUGAGUCCAUGGGUAAGCGUGUUCUCAGCAGUAAUAUCUGCAAUCGUGAAAACCUGAAAAUAACCCAAAUGUUUACACAGACAGGAGAAUGGAUAUAUAAAGUGUGGAAUAAUCACACAAAGGCAUAUGGCACAAAAGCAAAACGAAUAAACUAAACUUACAAGCAGCGUCAUGGUAAAUCUUAGAUGUUCAGUGUUGAGACGAAAAAUAUCCAGAAGACCAGACAGUGUACUAUCAAUGAAUGCAAUUCAAAAGUAAACAGAACUGAACAAUAAUGUAUUGUUUAAGAAUACUGAGAUCUGUGCCAAAACUAUCACUACAUUCUUAUUACACACAAAAUUCAAGAAAAUAGUUAACUUGGUGGCAGGGGUUUCAUGAGGUGUGUUUGCAGGAAAGGGAGCCCAGAGAGUAAUAAUUAUUGAGGAAUGUUCUAGAUGUUUGAAGUGGGUGGUAGGUCCUUGCUUGUUUUGUAUUUUGCUUCAUACCUUUGCAUAUUCAUACCUUCAUGCCAUCGCAUAUGUUCCUUAGGAGAUCCCCAACAUUUCACAUGCAAAGUAAGUUAGUUUUAGAUGCAGUGAGUCACUUUUGGAUGAUUUCCCACCCUCUAAUAAUUCCUCACCCUUGAAAGAAUCCCUUUGACUCCAGAGUGGUUUUUCUGUGACUGUUUUGUGCCGUCAGCGUCCUUUGUAGGGCUUCUUGACCAAGAGGUGGAAAUUGGAUUCAUCCUGGAAUGAAGAAGCUCCUGGAACUCUUUCAGACUCAUGGCAGAAUGAAACACACCCUUCUCCCUUCCAUUACUCUGCUCUUGAAAAUUGUAUCUCCUUGCCUCUCUCUUGAGGAGACUCUGUUGGAAGAGGUAACAUUGGGAAGACUCUGGGACAGGGUGCAGAAGGGGUUCGAUUCAUUCCCAAAGAUGGGUCACUUGCUGACAGAGUUGCACACUAACCCAGAAAGAUCUCGGCAUCUUGUGCAUGUCAUUGUCUGUCGCUGGCCCCAAAGCAGCAGCUGUGUGCCUCUCCCCUGCAUUGCAGUGCCCCACUGCCAUGUCGUGCCCUGAAUCUCAUUAAGUGCGUCCCUCUGUUGCUUUCCACCACCAGAAACUUCACCUGACAUCUUCUGGUACUCACACCCCUCUGCUUUGGGAAUCAGCCCCCGAGUUUCACCUCCUGUCUACAACUUCCCCAGAAUCCCCCCAACAGAGUGAGGCGCCUGCACUGGAGGCUCCUUUUCUGUGUUGUGUUACUUCCUUGUAGCCCUUAUCAAAAUUUAGUCUUCAUUCCUCUGUUUGUCCUGUGGCCUCUGAGCAACGUGAGGAUAAGGGUUGAGUCUCUUCAUUUUUUUUCAGUCCUGCCCCAGCACGGAGUCUGCCCUCCACCAAAUACCGUUGAGUAUUUUGGAGUGAACAUCAGGCAUUAGAAGCAGACCUUAGAGAGGGACUGUGGAGGCUUGUGCUUCAUGGACAAAAGGAACUGAGUCUCAGGAAAGACCCUCAAAGGGAAGAACAGAGAAGACCUUAUCUGCUGGCUGACGCCUGUCUGCCAUUGUGUAAAGACUCCUCCUCCUCAUGGGGUCUCAACCUCCCUGUGCUGUUGGGUUGCCAUGUCUCAGGUCAAAAGGAAAGUGAGUGCAUGUAUACGUGUAAGUCCAUCUACAUGUAUAUGCAAGUACAUGACUAUGUGAAUAUGUGAGUGUAUAUAUUCUCCAGAGAAUAUUUAUUAUAUUAGAUAUAUACUAUAUAUAAUACAUUGCGUAUUAUAUGUUAUACAUAAGACAUAUGUAAUAUAUAACAUACAGACAUAUGUUACAUACAUAUGUCACAUAUAUGAGUACAUAUGUUUAUAUAAUAUAUGUUGUAUAUUACUCUGGUGUAUCUAUUACUCAUAUAUAUGUACACAUGUAUGUGUGUAUGUCUUAUAUGUAAUAUAUGCAUGUGUGUAUAUAUUGCAUAUGCACAUCUCUCUCUCUAUAUCUAAGUCUGUUCGGGCUGUUAUAACAAAAUACCACAGACUGGGCGGCUUAAGCAACGGAUAUCUAUUUCUUACAAUUCUGGAGGUGAAGUCCAAGAGCGAGGCAGCAGCAGAUUUGGUGUCUGGUGAGGAUGCAAUUCCUGAUUGACAGACGGUCAUCUCGCCAUGUCCUCACAUAGUGGACAGGGUGAGGGAGCUCUCGGGGCCUCUUUUAUAACGGCACUAAUCCCAUCCAUGGGGGCUCCACCCUCAUGAGCUAAUCGCCUCCCAAAGGCCCCACCUCCUCAUACCAUCACACUGGGGGUUAGGUUUCAACAUCUGGAUUUUGAGCGGACACAAACAUGCAGACCACAGCAAUGUAAAUAUAAAGAGGUUUGUCGUGGGGAAUGGUUCACGCCCUUAUGGAGACUCAGAAGUUCCCAGAUCUGCAAUCUGCAAACUGGAGACUCAGGGGGACCGAUGGCGAAGUUCCAGUCUGAGUCUGAAGGCGGGAGAAGACAGAUGUUCCAGUCCAAAGACAGUCAGAGAGGAGUUCCUUCUUAUUGGCGAGUCAAUCUUUUUGUUCUACUCAGGCCUUCAAAUGAUGGAUGACGCCCACCCACAAUGGGGAGGGCAAUCUGUUUUACUCAAUCUACUUGUCCAAAUGCUAAUGGCAACCAGAAACACCCUCACAGACACAGGCAGAAUAAUGUUGGACCAAUAAUAUCCGGGCACCCCAUGGUGCAGUCACGUUGACACACAAAAUUAACCAUCACAAUGUCUAGGUAUACGUGUGUGUGUGUGUGUGUGUGUGUAUGCAUGCAUCUUACAACGUGUUAAGUAUUGUUCCAGCACAGAAUAAAGGAUGUGGUAACUUUUGCUGGAAAAUGUGCACUGUAAUAAUACUCAACAGUCAUCUUGAAACAGCAUUUGCUAUGUCCAAAUUCAAAUUGAGUGAAGGACCAGAAAAAAUAAAAUAGAGAAUACAGCCAGUUGGCCAGACAUGAAGAACAGAUAGCCAUGAUGUCACAUAAAAAUUCCAGUAAAUCCAUAAAAUUUCUGUAUCUUCUGUGCUCCUCAUUGCUGAGGAAGAGAUGCUGUCCACUUGCCCUGUUACGGCCACCGUGUCCAGAGGGGCUGGCUGCUGGCAGCCUCGCGGCUAUACGAGGUCUGCAGAAUGCUUGUUCCUCCUUUCCACUCCUCUCUUGAAAAUCCGUGAAUGCAGGGCAGAUUCAAACUCGGCUUCAUUUUAAAAUGACAAAGGCGACAGCCCUCAGUCACAACGCAUUACAGUAUUCACUUUAAAUGACCUUUACUCUGCACCAGAAAUGAAACUGCCAGCUUCACGAUUUGGUUCCACCAAGGAAACGGGGGAGGACGUUUUCCUAUGUUGUUUGACAAAGCAGCUGCAGCCACCAUCCCACGCAUUACACGCAUCCCACACUCGGCCCAGGCAUUCUUUCCGCUUCAGAUGGCUGACGGUCUGGAAUGAUGUGUGGAGUAACAGAAACGACCAAGGAAGCUGUAUUUGCAGAGGACCAAGGAAAUGGCAAUCGCAAUCAAUGAAGACAUAUGGCACAAGCUGCCAAGAAUCUUUAAGCCAUGUACAAACAUGCACAAAUAUUGUGACAGUCUCUAAUAUAUGCUGUAGGUCUUUGUAUAUUUCUAAGAAGCAGGUUUUGCCACAACUCUAUUUCAGACCACCGCAGAACUGCUCUCGGACAGGGUCACCCAGCCAUCUCAUCAGCCACAAUGCCCUGAAGCAAUCAAGCAGGGCAGUCUCCUUGUCUGGAGUGCCUAAGUACGGAUAUUUCCCACUAAUAAAUAUCUAAUUAGAACUAACGAAAUGUUAUGCUUGUAAACAAUCCUGUAGUAAGACAUAUCACACAAUGAGUCAACCCAGCGUGCUCAUUGUUCCCGUUAGGCAACCAGCAUUCAAUUUCGGUUAUGGAACUUUGCACUUAAAACUUGGCAGGGGAUGGUCAGGACCAGAGUCAAAUUUUAAACAAAAUUUGACGAACUCCAGUUGUGCUAUUCCUUGAAUACUAGGCUUAGUUGAUGAGCUAGAUUCUCUCAGCCUAUAAGACCUUUCGGUAGGCAAUUCAAUUCUGAAAAAUUGGCUCCAAUGUUUAAGAAGAUGCUAGCUCCUUACGACAAUAUUAUUAAUGAAUGUUGAUAUAUUAAUAUUUGUGGGCAAUGUCUGUCCUAACAGAUAGAUCACUUCUUUAGUGUUUUUAAAAUUUCUUUUUUUUAUUGUGGUAGCAUUGGUUUAUAACAUUAUAUAAAUUUCAGGUGUACAUCAUUAUAUUUCAAUUUCUGUGUAGAUUACAUCGUGUUCACCACCCAAAGACUAAUUACAAUCCAUCACCACACACAUGUGCCUAAUGACCCCUUUUGCCCUCCGCCCUCCCCCCUCCCCAUCUGGUAACCACCAAUCCAACCUCUGUCUCUAUGUGUUUGUCAUUGAUUUAAUCUUCUACUUAUGAGUGAGAUGAUACAGUAUUUGAGUUUCUCCCUCUGAAUUACUUCGCUCAGCAUAAUGCCCUCCAGGUCCAUCCAUGUUGUCACAAAUGGCCAGAUUUCAUUUUUUUAUGGCUGAGUAAUAUUCUAUUGUGUAAAUAUACCACAUCUUUAUUCAUUCGUCCCUUGAUGGGCACUUAUGUACAUCUUUAGUUUGAUUAUGCUAUACCCUUUCUAAAACCGUAUUUGCCAUGAAAAAUAUUGAUGUGCGUUGGUGCCGACAAGUUAGCCCAGUGUCCAUGGUGCAUUUUGGGGAGCAGGGCUGGUCCAUGAGCAAUUUAGCUAGCACUUGUGUGUAGAGGUCUGAGCAUCUGAUGGAUCAUUCCUCUACUCUCUACCUCAUCUUUCAGUCUCUGUUGGAUCGAGAUAAAUAUUGACAAGUGACAUUGAGAAAACCAAUAAGCUUUUCUGGUCUUCAUUUUCUGCAUCAUUCUUCCACCUGUGAACCUUGUAGGGCACUGUGUGUGUUUCUCUAUUACAGUGCCCUGAGCUGCCAGGAUUGCUUUUCUCCAAACUACGUGGAAAUUCCAUCCUUCAAGGUAAAGACUAAGCUUAUUUAUCUUCUGUGAAUAAAGCCUGAUGCAGUACUGGCUAUAUUUCAGCUG
ensembl:lncRNA